CCUGCGUCGUCGUCCCUGAUUGGACAGCGUUCCGGCGUGUGAUGGGCGGGGCGGAGGUCACGUGGCUGAGGGAGGCGGUGCCCUGCCGUCCUCUGGGACGCGGACCGCCCGCCCGACUGUCGUUCACAGAGCACAGGCUCCUGGCGGGGACCUCCUGCCUCUGCCCGAGGCUCCCAGCCCCUCCUCGCCUUCCUCCCGGGACGGGCAGUCCUGACUCAGUUUCCCUGGAGCGCCCCUCCUCAGGACUCGGACCAGUGGGACAGGGGGCGCGGUCACCUGGGUGCUCGGCCCAGGGCGGGACUCCCGACUUGCCUCAUCUGAUGACAACUGGUGAAAUUGUUUCUGCUUAAUGUAAGGAAGCCACAGUCCUGCAGGGAGUGUCAGGCCAGCUUCCAGGUGUCUGAGGCUGCCUUUGCCAUUCUCAUUGACUACAUAAUAAACACUGACAUCCAUAUUUCUAUGUAUGGGGCACUGUUUUAAGUGUUUUCCAUAAAGUGGCUGAGUUAGCAUAUAUAAAUCUACUUCUUCCUCAGAAACUCCAGACGGUAGACACUUUAUUAUCUAUACAUCUAUAUGAGUUAACUCAGGAGAUAACUAUAAAUGUAGGUGAUUUGCCAGAAGUCACCAAGCUGGGAAGGAAAUGCAGGAUCGUGACGAGACCCUAGCCUGUCUUUCUGGGUGUGUACUCAUUGUCUGGUGCUAAAUAUUGAGUAUCCCUCAUAUGCCAUGCACUCUAGGCUGAAAACAGAGUUACUUUCCACACUAAUGUAAGCUGUGCAGGCACUUGCCCACAGAUCCUCAAGCUCUCUGCUCCCAACCUGCUCAGACACACCCCUACCCUGGCAGUCCAGGGCUGUCACCCUCCUUAGGCUGCAGUGACGGUCUCUCUAGGGUUUGUGUGUAGUGUUUUCCUAAGUCUUCCUGCGCCUCUGUGGCUGCACAUGACUAGGCAUCGCCUGGUGAGUUGAUGACACUACAGAGGAAAGUCCAUUCUAACACUGGUUGGAAUCCCUUAGGUACAGGUAUCCUCUCUCAAAAGACUGUACCUUUCUGUACAUUUAUUGACCAUUUCCUCUCUCAAGUCCCUGGAGGACUAGUCACCUUACACAUCCUCUGACCCAUAAAGCCCUACCAGGUCCAUCAAAAUACAAGACAUCCAUCGAUGCCCAGGGCCAGAGAAGGAUCCCUGGAGGCCAUCUGACACAGAGGGAGAAACUGACCUCUGUCAACAGGAGCAGACCAGAACUGUAAGUGGUCAGAAUGAAGAGAGAAAGCAUGGUCCAUUUGUCAUCCAGUGGAAAUUACACAAGGGAACAUCGCUGGGCAGGAGCAUCAGCAAUCAAUUACCCAUCUGUCAUGUAGGCAAAUGGCCCGUGGAUAUUCAGCACAACUACCGGCAACAAGACGACCGAGAAGAUGUCUCUAUUCUGAUAUUGCUUUCACGUUAAGCCACUGGGAGCUCU
rnacentral:lncRNA from 1 species